CCCAUAUAAGGUGCUCUAUAGGGAGCCAUAUAGGGUCCCUAUAGGAGAUCAUAGAAGGGUCCAUAUAGGGGUCCCAUAUAAAGGGCCAUAUAAAGGGGCCAUAUAGGGGGCCAUCUAAGGGACCAUAUAAGGGGCCAUAUAAGGGGUCAUAUAAGGGGCCAUAUAAGAGGCCAUAUAGGGGGCCAUAUAAGGGGCCAUAUAGGGGGCCAUAUAAGGGGCCAUCUAAGGGGCCAUCAAAGGGCCAUAUAGGGUCCCUGGAGGGGGCCAUCUAAGGGGCCAUCUAAGGGGCCAUAUAGGGUGCCAUAUAAUUGGCCACAUAAGAGGCCAUAUAAAGGGGCCGUCUAAGGGGCCAUAUAAGAGGCCAUAUAAGCGGCC
ensembl:lncRNA